rnacentral:rRNA from 1 species
UACGGAGGGAGCUAGCGUUGCUCGGAAUCACUGGGCGUAAAGCGUACGUAGGCGGCUAUUCAAGUCAGAGGUGAAAGCCCGGGGCUCAACCCCGGAACUGCCUUUGAAACUAGAUAGCUAGAAUCUUGGAGAGGUUAGUGGAAUUCCGAGUGUAGAGGUGAAAUUCGUAGAUAUUCGGAAGAACACCAGUGGCGAAGGCGACUAACUGGACAAGUAUUGACGCUGAGGUACGAAAGCGUGGGGAGUAAACAGG